rnacentral:tRNA from 1 species
GCGGGAUUAGCUCAGUUGGUAGAGCGCGACCUUGCCAAGGUCGAAGUCGAGAGUUCGAGUCUCUUAUCCCGCUCCA